AUUGAACGCUGGCGGCAUGCCUUACACAUGCAAGUCGAACGGUAACAGGUCUUCGGAUGCUGACGAGUGGCGAACGGGUGAGUAAUACAUCGGAACGUGCCUAGUAGUGGGGGAUAACUACUCGAAAGAGUGGCUAAUACCGCAUGAGAUCUACGGAUGAAAGCAGGGGAUCGCAAGACCUUGCGCUACUAGAGCGGCCGAUGGCAGAUUAGGUAGUUGGUGGGAUACAAGCUUACCAAGCCGACGAUCUGUAGCUGGUCUGAGAGGACGAUCAGCCACACUGGGACUGAGACACGGCCCAGACUCCUACGGGAGGCAGCAGUGGGGAAUUUUGGACAAUGGGCGCAAGCCUGAUCCAGCAAUGCCGCGUGCAGGAUGAAGGCCUUCGGGUUGUAAACUGCUUUUGUACGGAACGAAAAGCCCUGGGUUAAUACCCUGGGGUCAUGACGGUACCGUAAGAAUAAGCACCGGCUAACUACGUGCCAGCCGCCGCAGUAAUAC
rnacentral:rRNA from 1 species